rnacentral:lncRNA from 13 species
CUGAAGCAGAAAGGAGUUCCAUGGGUGGUAAGUUCUAGAACUGGGAUUGGACAUAUAAUUCUUUUUGUUUGUUUGUUUUUGUUUUGAGAUGGAGUUUUGCUCUUCUUGCCCAGGCUGGAGAGCAAUGGUGCUAUCUCAGCUCACUGCAACCUCCAUCUCCUGGGUUCAAGUGAUUCUUGGGCCUCAGCCUCCCGAGUAGCUAGGAUUACAGGGGAUAAUGCAGUAAGAAGGCCCUUACCAGACCCUGAUACCUCAACGUUGGAUUUCCCAGUCUCCAGAACGGGACCAAGAUCGGAUCUGGAAUGGCUACCCCUGCUGUUUUACCAUAAGCAGAGCAAGCCAAAUGCUAAGAGGACCCUUAAGAUUUCCUAACAAUAGGUAUGCGUGGAAAAGACAGAUGGCUUCCUUUGCACCUGAUAGAUUCCCACUGACUGAACAUCUGUGAGAGGAAUGGAAGGUAUUUACUUUGAGAUUCUGUUUAUACUGGAAGAAAAUCACAUGUAAACUUUUGAAUAGUUUCUAUAGAGGUGAAGGCAGAAGGCUGUGCAAAUCUGUGGCCUCAUUCAGCCAGCCAGCCACCAUUUCCCUCACCACCCGAUGUUAGGCAGAGCUUGCUUUAUUGCCACAUCCCUUGCAGUGACACUUGCCACCUAAAGCAGCCAGGCCAACAGAACAUCCUGGCAGGGUCACAUGAUUUGUAUCCUAGGGUA